UACGGGAGGCAGCAGGGGGGAAUAUUGCGCAAUGGGCGAAAGCCUGACGCAGCGACGCCGCGUGAGGGACGACGGCCUUCGGGUUGUAAACCUCUUUUCAGCUCUGACGAAGCGAAAGUGACGGUAGGAGCAGAAGAAGCACCGGCCAACUACGUGCCAGCAGCCGCGGUAAUACGUAGGGUGCAAGCGUUGUCCGGAAUUAUUGGGCGUAAAGAGCUCGUAGGCGGUCUGUCGCGUCGAAUGUGAAAACCCCGGGGCUCAACCCCGGGCCUGCAUUCGAUACGGGGCAGACUAGAGUUCGGUAGGGGAGACUGGAAUUCCUGGUGUAGCGGUGAAAUGCGCAGAUAUCAGGAGGAACACCGGUGGCGAAGGCGGGUCUCUGGGCCGAUACUGACGCUGAGGAGCGAAAGCGUGGGGAGCGAAACGAGGGAUUAGAUACCCGU
rnacentral:rRNA from 1 species